UACGUAGGGGGCAAGCGUUGUCCGGAUUUAUUGGGCGUAAAGAGCGUGUAGGCGGCUUGGUAGGUCCGCUGUGAAAACUCGAGGCUCAACCUCGAGAUGUCGGCGGAAACCACUUGGCUAGAGUCCGGAAGAGGAGAGUGGAAUUCCCGGUGUAGCGGUGAAAUGCGCAGAUAUCGGGAAGAACACCUAUGGCGAAGGCAGCUCUCUGGGACGGUACUGGACGGCUGAGACGCG
rnacentral:rRNA from 1 species